CAGCAGCCGCGGGAAAACAGAGGGUGCGAGCGUUAAUCGGAUUUACUGGGCGUAAAGCGUGCGUAGGCGGCUAAUUGAGUCGGAUGUGAAAUCCCCGAGCUUAACUUGGGAAUUGCAUUCGAUACUGGUUAGCUAGAGUGUGGGAGAGGAUGGUAGAAUUCCAGGUGUAGCGGUGAAAUGCGUAGAGAUCUGGAGGAAUACCGAUGGCGAAGGCAGCCAUCUGGCCUAACACUGACGCUGAGGUACGAAAGCAUGGGGAGCAAACAGGAUUAGAUACCCGGGUAGUCCCUGUCUCUUAUAC
rnacentral:rRNA from 1 species